AGUUAUAUAGUCUAAAAAGGAUAUUAAAUUGCAAGUUUAAAGGUAUGAAAUUUUAUAGCUU
rnacentral:tRNA from 1 species